rnacentral:rRNA from 1 species
UCUGCUAUCGCUUUUAGAUGGACCCGCGGCGUAUUAACUAGUUGGUGGGGUAACGGCCUACCAAGGUGAUGAUACGUAGCCGAACUGAGAGGUUGAUCGGCCACAUUGGGACUGAGACACGGCCCAAACUCCUACGGGAGGCAGCAGUAGGGAAUCUUCCACAAUGGACGCAAGUCUGAUGGAGCAACGCCGCGUGAGUGAAGAAGGUCUUCGGAUCGUAAAACUCUGUUGUUAGAGAAGAACACGAGUGAGAGUAACUGUUCAUUCGAUGACGGUAUCUAACCAGCAAGUCACGGCUAACUACGUGCCAGCAGCCGCGGUAAUACGUAGGUGGCAAGCGUUGUCCGGAUUUAUUGGGCGUAAAGGGAACGCAGGCGGUCUUUUAAGUCUGAUGUGAAAGCCUUCGGCUUAACCGGAGUAGUGCAUUGGAAACUGGAAGACUUGAGUGCAGAAGAGGAGAGUGGAACUCCAUGUGUAGCGGUGAAAUGCGUAGAUAUAUGGAAGAACACCAGUGGCGAAAGCGGCUCUCUGGUCUGUAACUGACGCUGAGGUUCGAAAGCGUGGGUAGCAAACAGGAUUAGGUACCCUGGUAGUCCACGCCGUAAACGAUGGAUGCUAGGUGUUGGAGGGUUUCCGCCCUUCAGUGCCGCAGCUAACGCAAUAA